GGAUUGAACGCUGGCGGCAUGCCUUACACAUGCAAGUCGAACGGCAGCACGGGAGCAAUCCUGGUGGCGAGUGGCGAACGGGUGAGUAAUACAUCGGAACGUGCCCAAUCGUGGGGGAUAACGCAGCGAAAGCUGUGCUAAUACCGCAUAAGAUCUACGGAUGAAAGCAGGGGAUCGCAAGACCUUGCGCGAAUGGAGCGGCCGAUGGCAGAUUAGGUAGUUGGUGAGGUAAAGGCUCACCAAGCCUUCGAUCUGUAGCUGGUCUGAGAGGACGACCAGCCACACUGGGACUGAGACACGGCCAGACUCCGUACGGGAGCAGCGAGUGGGGAAUUUGGACAAGUGGGACGAAAGC
rnacentral:rRNA from 1 species